UACGGAAGGCAGCAGUGGGGAAUAUUGCACAAUGGGCGCAAGCCUGAUGCAGCCAUGCCGCGUGUAUGAAGAAGGCCUUCGGGUUGUAAAGUACUUUCAGCGGGGAGGAAGGCGAUGCGGUUAAUAACCGCGUCGAUUGACGUUACCCGCAGAAGAAGCACCGGCUAACUCCGUGCCAGCAGCCGCGGUAAUACGGAGGGUGCAAGCGUUAAUCGGAAUUACUGGGCGUAAAGCGCACGCAGGCGGUCUGUUAAGUCAGAUGUGAAAUCCCCCGGGCUUAACCUGGGAACUGCAUUUUGAAACUGGCAGGCUUGAGUCUUGUAGAGGGGGUAGAAUUCCAGGUGUAGCGGUGAAAUGCGUAGAGAUCUGGAGGAAUACCGGUGGCGAAGGCGGCCCCCUGGGACAAAGACUGACGCUCAGGUGCGAAAGCGUGGGGAGCAAACAGGAUUAGAUACC
rnacentral:rRNA from 1 species